rnacentral:misc_RNA from 1 species
AAAGUCGUAACAAGGUCUCCGUAGGUGAACCUGCGGAGGGAUCAUCAUAGAAAACAACUUUCUAUAUAAGUUGCAAGGAAGGGAAUUAGGUGGAUAUUGGAAGGAAAGCAUACUCUGCAUUCUUUUUUAUUGGUGCCUUUUUCCUUCUUUGUUUCUUCAAACAAACGAUCGCAACUAUAUCAAAGAAAUUGAUUUGGAUGCAUGACAGCAAUGUCUUGCUUGAUAAAAGAAACAAGUGUUUGCCUGAUAUUCAAUGCCAUUGAUUUGGUUGGAAAAUAGUUAUAUACAACUUUCAACAACGGAUCUCUUGGCUCUC